rnacentral:lncRNA from 1 species
UGAAUCACUCGGCGGCAAUCGAUACUUUCUAACUUUCAUUGAUGAUGCUUCUCGAAAGGUUUGGGUGUAUUUCUUACGGACGAAGGACCAGGUGUUUGAUUACUUCAAACUGUUCCAUGUCAUGGUAGAACGUGAGAUAGGAAAGAAGUUGAAGUGUCUUCGAUCCGACAAUGGAGGUGAAUACUUUUCCAGGCAAUUCAAUGCCUAUUGCAGAUCAUAUGGCAUUUGUGUCUUCGAUCCGACAAUGGAGGUGAAUACUCUUCCAGGCAGUUCAAUACCUAUUGCAGAUCAUAUGGCAUUCGACAUGAGAAGACGGUCCCACACACCCCUCAACACAACGGUGUAGCUGAAAGAAUGAACCGAACAAUCAUGGAACGUGUUCGG